rnacentral:tRNA from 1 species
GCCUUCGUGGUGUAGUGGUCAGCACGCUGGGCGUAUAUUCUAGAGGUCCGUAGUUCGAAUCUGGGCGAAAGUU